UCUUCCAGCUGCCGGACCAGCGGGCCUGCCGCCUCUACGGACCAGUCCCUGCUCAGGUGUCACUUUUGCUGGCAGGCCGAGAUUAGGGCAGGAGAGUGGGCAAGGCGUCGCGGCCAGGAGGAGAAGGGCUCUACCACGCCACCCUCCUUUGGCCUCCGAACGCGGACCCCGCACACACACACCCGCGCCUCUUUGGCAAGCGUGCCUUGUCGGCUGGGUUAAGCCGCAGUGCGUGCACACCGAGCGGCGGGGCGCUGUGGAACGCGGGAGCGGACUAGCGGAGGAGGAUGCGGACCAAGCCCCAGCGACCCAGGGCAACUCGGAGCUACCUCGGGCAGCCCUGCGGGUCUCCGAGGAGAACCGAGGAGACGGGAGAAACAUGGGAGAGGGUGGCCUUUUCCCUGUUCACACACACAUGCACGCAGCCACUGGCCGGGACAGUUGACACCCAUCUUCCUUCCCUGCUCCUUCCAGUCAUUCUACACCCGCUUGGUGCUGCCAGUGCGGGCAGGGCCUUGGAGCCCAAAGCGGAUCCCCACACUUGUCCCUACGGUCGGAAGGAAAGUAGAGGAGAGAAAGUCAGGCGCGGCAGGGCUAAGAGCAAUAGUGGCCCAAAUGUUCCUGGCCCGCCUGCUGCGCCACAGAGUCUGAAAAGCGGGUCUCCGUCUACCAGAAGGUGACCUCCACACAGCCCCUCUCCCCGACCAACUGCAGCACCCAAGGACUGGCAACGUGGUUGGAGCUUUUGGGGGGAAUUAUGAAGAAAUCUGAAUAAAUUUCUCACCCUUCA
rnacentral:lncRNA from 1 species